GCCACUGGGCUGGCCCAACUUUUUAUAUAUUUCUUAAUAAAGAAACAAUGCCUUUUAAGUAAAGGAAGAAAGUCAGGGCAGCACAACAGACCCUCCAGAAAAGACACUGGGAACUCCUGAUGUCACACGCCCGCUCCCUGGGCCCGAUGCCCAGGCUGCCUGGGAAACCUCACAAACAUCCCUGGCAGUGGGCCUCCUGUGGUGCCACCACCACGCCGUGGGAGCCGUCCGACCACAGCAAGUCGAGAGCCUGUGGGUAGAGGAGGCCACCCCAGGGAUCGGGAGCUGACGGCGGCAGGAAGCCACCCUCCUACAGACGAGGGGACAAGAGCAGGUCCCUUCUCUGCCCCAACCUGCUCUGUGACCUUGGACUAGCCCCUUCCCAUGCCUGGGCCCCACAGAAAUGGGGGCAGGAGGCCCAGAUGACCCGGAGGGCUCAGAGGGCAGGACGGAGACGCGACUCCGAGUCCCUAAAACCCACAGCAGGGUGACCGUCCACCAGCUGGGCUUCAUGGUGCCGUCCUCCCAGAGGUCCUGGGGAGGGCACGUCCUUCCAGCCAUGGCGAAGGACCCACCCCUUCGUGCCCGGGGCCUGUUGCAAGAGAAGAAAGCUGGAGCCAGGCAACGCAAACAACAGAAGCCGCGUGCACGCACGAGCCAAGAUUUCUGCUAGGAAGAGGUGGCAUGGCUCGGGGAAGAAACCCAGCCAAGAGUCCCAGCUCCAGCCUGCCCUCCGUGCAACCUCAGGCCUCAGUUUCCCCAUGUGACAUCAGAAGGGCCUCAUCCUGAAUAAAGAUCUCAGCCUGGGCUUGUGAACUGUGGUCAGCUGACUAUCGUCCCUCCAAAGACGCCAGGCUGCCUCCCGGGUGUGCUGCAAUCUUGCCACAUGACCCAACAACUAUGAGAAAGCUACCACGUCUGCCCAUCCACCCCAGGCCACCAUGGGGGACUUCUCAAGGCUGGCCCCAGGAAGGCAUGGACUGCCCCGCCUGGCCAGGCCCGCACAGGGGGAGGCGGGGAGAGCCUAUCCCCACGGGGCUGCGGAGAGGGCAUGGGUAGAGUCAGCAGGUCUGGGCUGGCUACAUUGCUAGGCAGAAGUGCCCCCACCUGAGUGUCAGUGUCCCUGUGGUACAGUGGGGACAACAGAUCCGGUUCCCGGAGCCUCGCACAGAGAAGGCAGUGCCCUGCACAGCGCCCUUCCAGAGACAGGCUAGCGCUGCAGGCGUUGGUACCAAGGGGGCCCUCAGUGUUUGGGGUGCAGGGGGCUGCCAGCCCAGCUUUCACCCCAGUCCCACCCCUGCCCUGCCAUCACACAUCAGCUCAACUCUCUGAGUCACCCUCAGGCCCAAGUGGCCUUUCACCCAGUAAGCGAAGCUGUAAUUGCCCUUUGGACACAUGGUCCUCCCCACAAGGAGGGGUGCACGAGCUUCUGGGGCUCAAAGGUCAUCUGCUCACCUCGGGCAGGGCCUGGAAAACCCUCCACUUCCUAUCAUGACAUCACUGGGUGGCCCAAAACAGGACUGACAGGCCAGGAGCCCACUGUCCUGCUGGCCAGACACUGGGUCACCCCAGACCACUGAGGAGGGGCCAGGGGGCGUGAGCCUCAAUAGGAGUGGAACCUCCCCUGGCAGCCAGAGCAGAAGGUCAGGAGAGGCCUGGGUUCAGCUGGGCCUCUCUGUAAUCACAGCUGUGUGACUUCGCACUUGUGAAUAAACAUCUCUGAGCCUCUGAGA